rnacentral:rRNA from 1 species
GAUGAACGCUGGCGGCGUGCCUAAUACAUGCAAGUCGAGCGAACAGACGAGGAGCUUUCUCCUCUGACGUUAGCGGCGGACGGGUGAGUAACACGUGGAUAACCUACCUAUAAGACUGGGAUAACUUCGGGAAACCGGAGCUAAUACCGGAUAAUAUAUUGAACCGCAUGGUUCAAUAGUGAAAGACGGUUUUGCUGUCACUUUUAGAUGGAUCCGCGCCGCAUUAGCUAGUUGGUAAGGUAACGGCUUACCAAGGCAACGAUGCGUAGCCGACCUGAGAGGGUGAUCAGCCACACUGGAACUGAGACACGGUCCAGACUCCUACGGGAGGCAGCAGUGGGGAAUCUUCCGCAAUGGGCGAAAGCCUGACGGAGCAACGCCGCGUGAGUGAUGAAGGUCUUCGGAUCGUAAAACUCUGUUAUUGGGGAAGAAAAAAUGUGUAAGUAACUAUGCACGUCUUGACGGUACCUAAUCAGAAAGCCACGGCUAACUACGUG